AUUUAUAAAGCGCCAACAGAUUCUGCAACGCUGUACAAUUAGUACAGAGAACCUGCAAUAUACACAGACAUAUACAAAAGGUAGAGAGGACCAUGUCCGUAAGCUGAGAUCUAGCCAUUUAAGAUCUUUUAUAACUCUUUCAUGUGGCUGAUAUUAUGAGGCAGUAAUACGAUUUUUUUACAAAGGAAAAUAGCGUCUGAGGAAAAUAUAAU